UGGUACCUACGGGAGGCAGCAGUAGGGAAUCUUCGGCAAUGGGCGAAAGCCUGACCGAGCAACGCCGCGUGAAUGAAGACGGCCUUCGGGUUGUCCCCUUCUGUUCUCCGGGCCGCCCGGUGCUAGGAGGAAAUGACUAUCAAUUGACGGUACCUUAUGAGAAAGCCACGGCUCACUACGUGCCAGCCGCCGCGGUACUCCGUCGGUGGCCAGCGUUCUCCGGCCUUCUUGGGCGUCCCGCGCGCGCCGGCGGUUCCUUCCGUCUGCUGUGCCCAC
rnacentral:rRNA from 1 species